CCUACGGGAGGCAGCAGUAAGGAAUAUUGGUCAAUGGACGAAAGUCUGAACCAGCCAUGCCGCGUGAAGGAUGAAGGCCCUCUGGGUUGUAAACUUCUUUUAUCUGGGACGAAAAAAGGGUAUUCUUACUCACUUGACGGUACCAGAGGAAUAAGCACCGGCUAACUCCGUGCCAGCAGCCGCGGUAAUACGGAGGGUGCAAGCGUUAUCCGGAUUCACUGGGUUUAAAGGGAGCGUAGGUGGGCUGAUAAGUCAGUGGUGAAAUCUCCGGGCUUAACCCGGAAACUGCCAUUGAUACUAUUAGUCUUGAAUUAUCUGGAGGUAAGCGGAAUAUGUCAUGUAGCGGUGAAAUGCUUAGAUAUGACAUAGAACACCAAUUGCGAAGGCAGCUUGCUACGGAUUGAUUGACACUGAGGCUCGAAAGCGUGGGGAUCAAACAGGAUUAGAUACCCCUGGUAGUCCACGACCUAACCGAACUAGAGUACUACGUACACUACACGACGACUACACUAGUUGGUGUCGUGUAGACGAAGACGAGUAAGUAGUACCACCGUACGGAAGGUAACGGUACCGACCGAAGGUUAGUAAACGUUAAAGUUAAGUAAGUUAGUUACGGCGUGAGGAGAGCGACGGACGACGACGAGGGAGGAGG
rnacentral:rRNA from 1 species